rnacentral:rRNA from 1 species
UACGUAGGGUGCGAGCGUUGUCCGGAAUUACUGGGCGUAAAGAGCUCGUAGGUGGUUUGUCGCGUUGUUCGUGAAAACCGGGGGCUUAACCCUCGGCGUGCGGGCGAUACGGGCAGACUUGAGUACUGCAGGGGAGACUGGAAUUCCUGGUGUAGCGGUGGAAUGCGCAGAUAUCAGGAGGAACACCGGUGGCGAAGGCGGGUCUCGUGGGCAGUAACUGACGCUGAGGAGCGAAAGCGUGGGGAGCGAACAGG